rnacentral:rRNA from 1 species
AGUGAACGCUGGCGGUAGGCCUAACACAUGCAAGUCGAACGGCAGCACAGUAAGAGCUUGCUCUUACGGGUGGCGAGUGGCGGACGGGUGAGGAAUACAUCGGAAUCUACUUUUUCGUGGGGGAUAACGGAGGGAAACUUACGCUAAUACCGCAUACGACCUACGGGUGCAAGCAGGGGAUCUUCGGACCUUGCGCGAUUGAAUGAGCCGAUGUCGGAUUAGCUAGUUGGCGGGGUAAAGGCCCACCAAGGCGACGAUCCGUAGCUGGUCUGAGAGGAUGAUCAGCCACACUGGAACUGAGACACGGUCCAGACUCCUACGGGAGGCAGCAGUGGGGAAUAUUGGACAAUGGGCGCAAGCCUGAUCCAGCCAUACCGCGUGGGUGAAGAAGGCCUUCGGGUUGUAAAGCCCUUUUGUUGGGAAAGAAAAGCAGCAGGUUAAUACCCCGCUGUUCUGACGGUACCCAAAGAAUAAGCACCGGCUAACUUCGUG